AGAGUUUGAUCCUGGCUCAGGACGAACGCUGGCGGCGUGCUUCACACAUGCAAGUCGAGCGGUAAGGCCUUUCGGGGUACACGAGCGGCGAACAGGUGAGUAACACGUGGGUGAUCUGCCCUGCACUCUGGGAUAAGCUUGGGAAACUGGGUCUAAUACCGGAUAUGACUGCAUGCCGCAUGGUGUGUGGUGGAAAGAUUUAUCGGUGCAGGAUGGGCCCGCGGCCUAUCAGCUUGUUGGUGGGGUAAUGCCCUACCAAGGCGACGACGGGUAGCCGACCUGAGAGGGUGACCGGCCACACUGGGACUGAGGCACGGCCCAGACUCCUACGGGAGGCAGCAGUGGGGAAUAUUGCACAAUGGGCGGAAGCCUGAUGCAGCGACGCCGCGUGAGUGAUGAAGGCCUUCGGGUUGUAAACCUCUUUCAGCAGGGACGAAGCGUGAGUGACGGUACCUGCAGAAGAAGCACCGGCUAACUACGUGCCAGCAGCCGCGGUAAUACGUAGGGUGCGAGCGUUGUCCGGAAUUACUGGGCGUAAAGAGUUCGUAGGCGGUUUGUCGCGUCGUUUGUGAAAACCCGGGGCUCAACUUCGGGCUUGCAGGCGAUACGGGCAGACUUGAGUGUUUCAGGGGAGACUGGAAUUCCUGGUGUAGCGGUGAAAUGCGCAGAUAUCAGGAGGAACACCGGUGGCGAAUGCGAG
rnacentral:rRNA from 1 species